GACGAACGCUGGCGGCGUGCUUAACACAUGCAAGUCGAACGGAAAGGCCCUGCUUUUGUGGGGUGCUCGAGUGGCGAACGGGUGAGUAACACGUGAGUAACCUGCCCUUGACUUUGGGAUAACUUCAGGAAACUGGGGCUAAUACCGGAUAGGAGCUCCUGCUGCAUGGUGGGGGUUGGAAAGUUUCGGCGGUUGGGGAUGGACUCGCGGCUUGUCAGCUUGUUGGUGGGGUAGUGGCUUACCAAGGCUUUGACGGGUAGCCGGCCUGAGAGGGUGACCGGCCACAUUGGGACUGAGAUACGGCACAGACUCCUACGGGAGGCAGCAGUGGGGAAUAUUGUACAAUGGGCGGAAGCCUGAUGCAGCACCGCCGCGUGCGGGAUGACGGCCUUCGGGUUGUAAACCGCUUUCGCCUGUGACGAAGCGUGAGUGACGGUAAUGGGUAAAGAAGCACCGGCUAACUACGUG
rnacentral:rRNA from 1 species